rnacentral:rRNA from 1 species
GACGUAGGGCGCGAGCGUUGUCCGGAUUUAUUGGGCGUAAAGAGCUCGUAGGCGGCUUGUCGCGUCGUCCGUGAAAACCCGAGGCUCAACCUCGGGUCUGCAGUCGAUACGGGCGGACUGGAGUUCGGCAGGGGAGACUGGAAUUCCUGGUGUAGCGGUGAAAUGCGCAGAUAUCAGGAGGAACACCAGUGGCGAAGGCGGUUCUCUGGGCAUUACCUGACGCUGAGGAGCGAAAGUGUGGGGAGCGAACAGG